AACGAACGCUGGCGGCAGGCCUAACACAUGCAAGUCGAGCGAAGCUUUCGGGCUUAGCGGCGGACGGGUGAGUAACGCGUGGGAACGUGCCCUUUGGUACGGAAUAGCCCCGGGAAACUGGGAGUAAUACCGUAUGUGGUCGAGAGACGAAAGAUUUAUCGCCAAAGGAUCGGCCCGCGUUGGAUUAGGUAGUUGGUGGGGUAAUGGCCUACCAAGCCGACGAUCCAUAGCUGGUUUGAGAGGAUGAUCAGCCACACUGGGACUGAGACACGGCCCAGACUCCUACGGGAGGCAGCAGUGGGGAAUCUUAGACAAUGGGGGAAACCCUGAUCUAGCCAUGCCGCGUGAUCGAUGAAGGCCUCAGGGUUGUAAAGAUCUUUCAGUGGGGAAGAUAAUGACUGUACCCACAGAAGAAGCCCCGGCUAACUCCGUGCCAGCCGCCGCCGUAAGAC
rnacentral:rRNA from 1 species